rnacentral:rRNA from 1 species
CCUACGGGGGGCAGCAGUGGGGAAUAUUGGGCAAUGGGCGCAAGCCUGACCCAGCAACGCCGCGUGAAGGAAGAAGGCUUUCGGGUUGUAAACUUCUUUUGUUAGGGACGAAGAAAGUGACGGUACCUGAUGAAUAAGCCACGGCUAACUACGUGCCAGCAGCCGCGGUAAUACGUAGGUGGCAAUCGUUAUCCGGAUUUACUGGGUGUAAAGGGCGUGUAGGCGGGUCUGCAAGUCAGAUGUGAAAAUCACGGGCUCAACCUGUGGCCUGCAUUUGAAACUGUAGUUCUUGAGUACUGGAGAGGCAGACGGAAUUCCUAGUGUAGCGGUGAAAUGAGUAGAUAUUAGGAGGAACACCAGUGGCGAAGGCGGUUUGCUGGACAGCAACUGACGCUGAGGCGCGAAAGCGUGGGGAGCAAACAGGAUUAGAUACCCGGGUAGUG